GGGGAUGUAAUGGGUUUCGACAGUAAUUUAGAAGCAUAGGUAGCGAGUAGUGGAUGGUCGCUUUGGCCACUUAAAAAAAGCGAAAUAAAAAUAAACGCUGAUAAUCAAUUAGCAUACGCUGCCUAGGUGCAGUGUCGUCUUACCAUAAAGCCUACUGUUAUGGAUAAGGCGUCGACUAAAGUAGGAAACAAAGUUAUUCUUGCCUUGGGGAUAAUGGGUAAAAAAAGGCUACCAAAAUUCCAAGCGUGUUUGUUUGCAAGGAAUAGAGGAAAAAAACAAUAACAAACUACACUCGUAGAAAUCUAUGUGGAAAAAUUAUUGGACGAGGGUUCAACUCCCUCCAUCUCCACCA
rnacentral:tmRNA from 1 species